rnacentral:rRNA from 1 species
AGAGUUUGAUCCUGGCUCAGGAUGAACGCUGGCGGCGUGCUUAACACAUGCAAGUCGAACGGAAAGGCCAGUGCUUGCACUGGUACUCGAGUGGCGAACGGGUGAGUAACACGUGGGUGAUCUGCCCUGCACUUCGGGAUAAGCCUGGGAAACUGGGUCUAAUACCGGAUAGGACCACAUUUUGGAUGGUGUGGUGGAAAGUUUUUCGGUGUGGGAUGAGCUCGCGGCCUAUCAGCUUGUUGGUGGGGUAAUGGCCUACCAAGGCGUCGACGGGUAGCCGGCCUGAGAGGGUGUACGGCCACAUUGGGACUGAGAUACGGCCCAGACUCCUACGGGAGGCAGCAGUGGGGAAUAUUGCACAAUGGGCGCAAGCCUGAUGCAGCGACGCCGCGUGGGGGAUGACGGCCUUCGGGUUGUAAACUCCUUUCGCUAGGGACGAAGCGUAUUUGUGACGGUACCUGGAGAAGAAGCACCGGCUAACUACGUGCCAGCAGCCGCGGUAAUACGUAGGGUGCGAGCGUUGUCCGGAAUUACUGGGCGUAAAGAGCUCGUAGGUGGUUUGUCGCGUCGUUUGUGUAAGCCCGCAGCUUAACUGCGGGACUGCAGGCGAUACGGGCAUAACUUGAGUGCUGUAGGGGAGACUGGAAUUCCUGGUGUAGCGGUGGAAUGCGCAGACAUCAGGAGGAACACCAAUGGCGAAGGCAGGUCUCUGGGCAGUAACUGACGCUGAGGAGCGAAAGCAUGGGUAGCGAACAGGAUUAGAUACCCUGGUAGUCCAUGCCGUAAACGGUGGGCGCUAGGUGUGAGUCCCUUCCACGGGGUUCGUGCCGUAGCUAACGCAUUAAGCGCCCCGCCUGGGGAGUACGGCCGCAAGGCUAAAACUCAAAGGAAUUGACGGG